UUAAUUGCCAAUGACUCGAGCUCAUCCGCAGCUCACCGGCCACACUAGCGACACACCGGCCUCGCCACCACCCACUCGCUCGCCUUGAAUGGCCGCCGCCGCGGUCAGCUCGGGCACGGCACCGCCCAGGCCACCCGAGCCAGCCAGCGCGACCCCGUGGUAAAUACGGACGACCACCGUCCGUACCUAACCGCUCCGGCCACUCCUACCUCGCCACCGCCCGCGCUUUGCCAUCAAUGGCCGCCGCCGACGUGUUCAUCUCUGGAACCCGCGGCACUGCCCUCCCCUCCCUAUAAAAAGCCACCCAAGGCCCUCGAAAAGCACCAUAUCACUCUACCUCUCCCUCACUGACCCACCCGUUGCAGCAACACAACCAGAGGAGGUCGUCUUCUCCGAUUCCGGCAACUACUGCCGCCGCCACUGUUCGGAUGGUUCCGACGCCGUCCGGCCCUUCCUCUCACAAGUUUAUCCACCACUAGCCUCCUUGAGCACCCAUUGAUCCACCCCCACACUCAAUUUUGCCCGGGAGCCACCAUAGGCGAAACACCCAAUUCGUCUCCGCCGGAGCUCCUCGGGUGAGCUCGCCGCCGGCGACUCCCUCCACUCCAGCGACAAAGGAGGGUACCCACAUGUCCGCCUCAACCUUCUGAGCUCGUAGGAGGCCUCGGUUUUCCAAACGGUGCCGCCUUUCGCCGGCGCCGACCGCCGGAGCUCCGCCUCUGUUCGGCCGGAGAAGGAGGCGCGCGCGUGGACUGGUCAAACCUGACCAGUGGGCCGGGCGGGCCCACUGCCAGUGACUCAGCGCGGUGCCAGCUCAUUUUAAGUGGAGACGUUUUCCCCAAAGUACGUCUCCUCCACCGGAAAACGUACAAUAGUAAAGACGCCUUCGACGUCGCAACCCUCCCACGCAGCCAAACGACUGGGCUCGGCCCAGUAGCGCUAGGCGGCUAUACUGCGCCCAGGGCGCGUUUCUGCUCAGCCCAUCACAGAAAUGGAGGGGAGAUAUAAUUUCCAAGUUUUGGAGUGCGCCUAAUCUUUCUGCAUGCUCAAGGCAAGCAUCUUGAACACAUGAUAUGGUGAAUGCAUAGUGUUUGUUUGCAUGUAGAAUUGAAUUAUGAAUAUAUUCAACUCAUAUGAAAUUUGCAUAGUAUUGGUCAUACAUGCAUGAUUCCCCUUGAUGAUAUUCUAUCUCCAUUUUAACAUGAAGUAUGAGUGAGUAUGGUGAUUUUCAUGUACCGUAUAUGCCUGUGUUGGUCUAGGCUAAUUUGCAAGAAGAAUCAGUCACGAGAAAAGUGACCGUGAGACUGAAAUCUCGUUCGUGAGGAGAAUGAUCAAUGAGGGUAUGUUGAGACAUACUAGGUGGUGACCCUGUUGGGUAAUGCCAAGGAAUUGUAUUGUGCUAACCAUUGCAGGGAAACUUAAACCUCCUGAGUUGACCGUAGAUCGAGUCUUGUUCCGGUAACCCCCCAUACUUGAUUCGUGCUACCACAUGUUCCUGCCAAAGGUAGGGUAUGGUUCAGUAAGUUGAUAACCCCUUUCCUGCACACACCGUACAGAGAGGCCAUAGGGAAUGGUACUAUUGGCCCCAGUAGUCAUGUCACUUGGUCCGGGGGCAUGAAUGGCCGGUCUGGGACCGAAGCUGAAUGUUCAUGCUGUUGGAGGCCGUUGCAUGAGGCCUUCCCACUUAGAUUUUUACUUUAUCAUUGUUUUGGGUGAUCCCUGGCUUGAUGGAUUAAAGCUGGUAUGUGCGGGUCAGGUGUGUUUUCAUCCCAAAGACCGUAAUCGGAAUUAGUCAACGUCUCGGGGUUGACUAAAGAAAUCCUUUACUUGUGGGUAAAGAGUACACCCUCUGCAGAAUUAUAUCUAUUCGAAUAGUCAUGUCCAUGGUUAAGGACUACAGUCUGGGUUGGUCAAGUGUCGGCCUUAGUGUCAGUCUCCGGAGGAAAUAAUUAAAUUGAUCAUGGUUCGUCCUGCAGGGUAAUUAUUGUCACUGCUGGUGCCAUUAUGAAUAUUAUUGUUGACAUGAAUAUUGUUGUGGACUAACCGUUUCCUCUUAUGUGCAACUGUGAGUAUCUCUUGGGAUGGCUAGUCCACCUGAAUGCUCAUGUUAUUUUCUUAUAAGCCCUUUAUGAGGCGUCGCUUCAGACACCCGACUGUGCCGUGUAUUUUCAAGACUUCUCGUGGCAUCGCUUGAGUUCUCGGGCGGUCCUGUCUCGCCCGACUCUCUUUUAGACACUCGUUUGGCAUUUCUUUUCAAGACCUCUCGUGGUCUCGCUUGAGUUCUCGGGCGGUCCUGUCUCGCCCGAUUCUCUUUUAGACGCCCGUUUGGCAUUUCUCUUGGAAUUUCUCGGGCGGUCCAACGCCCGACGUUCCGUUUCAUUUCUUUGAUUUACUAAUAACAUGACUAAUUUAUCCUUCUGCACCGUAUGAAUAUUUUCAUGCCAUGCUUGAAUUCUCAGUCUGCACAUGCAUAUAAUUUAAUUCAUCAUGAGCAUAUGCAUCCUCUAUAUCUUUUGUUCUUGAUGUUUGCGAGUACAUUCAAACGUACUCACUGGCUUGUCCAUGGCUAUUGUCUUGGCCAGAUCAUGAUUCAGAGAGGAGUACUACGAAGCCACCUCGCAACCUAGGAUUCAGAGAUAGCAACCGCGCGAGAUAGGAGUUAUCCAGGUCAGCUGUUCCCGUGGGAAUGGAGUUCCAUCAGCGUUGGAGAUCCACGAGUCGCUUCCAUUAUUUGCCACUCGAAAUCAUUGUUGUACUCAAUGGACCUAUAAGGUCUUGUACUCAAAUCCUUGUAAUUUCUUGGAAUUCUGUAUCAAGGAAAUAUCCACCAGCAACAGUAAUCCUGGGGCUGGUGGUGACAUAAGGGUCGUUUGCUGGGAAUUUAUGUCCCGGAAAUCCGGCCCCGACAACCUUGGUAUCAGAGCUAGGCUGACCACCGGCUAAUCCUAUCUUAGCCUGGUCACUAUCCCUAGGUUUUCACACCGACCAUAUCCUUUUCUAUCCACCGUCAAGCUCAUCCUAACCGAUAGCCUGCAUAGUGGCCACCCGACAGAUUUUUGUUAGUCGGUGCCCAACCUAUUGUCCUAGGCCAUAGGCCGUGCGCCCGUGGCCGACACCUGAGUUGUCCCAUCCGCAAGCGUGCGAUGGAAGACUCCGCUGGCUUAUAAAGGAAGCCUUGCCCUUACUCAGCACAUCAUCGCCUUCACUCGCAGCUUGAUUUCCAAACCACCAAGAUGCAUGGUCCCAUCGUCCGCAACGAGACCACCGCAUCCGAGCUUGGAGAUUUUGUAGCGAUCCUCGCCAAUCUCACUCAUCGUGCUUUUGGCAUAGACGAACCCCCAGAAUAUGUUGUGUACCAGGAACACACAAGUGAUGCCAUCCAUCACUUCUGGGCCACGGUGCACAUCUACGGGAGGGGCACCACAUCAGAACGCCCCUACCGGUUCACCGGAAGGAUGACCUCCGACGAGCCCCAAGCCAUCCAACUUGCAGCCGAGAGGGUAUAGUUCAUCUUCGGCAUUUGUCGCCGAGGGUUAACACCCGCCCUUUCUUCUACUACCCUAGUCGUGAAGGCUAUGGUAGCCCGACCCAAGUCGCCAACGGUGACCAUGAGUUGGAUCCUGCUCUAGUGCAUCUGGUGCGCUACCUGAGGGCGCAAGAGGCACUAUUCGAUCAGGUCACCAAUGAUCUGAUUGCGACCCGCAGGACGAUUGCACUCCUGACACCGGUAAGGAGUGAAGCUGCAACCAACACCGACACCCCAAUAAUGCUACUUGGGAGGCCAGUUGAACCCCCAAGGUCUGCUCCUAUCAUCAACCCCGACAAUGCCUUUGCCUCCCCAGGAGAACUCCGUCGUCUCUUGGAGACCUACUCCAACGGGAUUGUGACCACGAGACCCCACGAGGGGCAUCAUCGCUAUCCAGCACUAUAGCUCCCCAUCCUACCCCGAACAACUCCGACACUGAAGCUCACGGAGAGGCCUCGACAUCUGCAAGACACGCCCGGCUAGAUGUCAAUGAGGUGGACUGAGUCCACCAGGAGUAUUGUCAAAUCUUAGUAGUCCUGUUGUCUUGUAUUUUCAAGGUACCAAUCGUAUGGCAUAGUGAGCUUGUCAACUACAUGUGUGCCAUUGUUGUAAUGGUACUAUGUGUGAUCUAGCGUAAAUUAUUGGUGUAUGGCGACAGAGUAAAUGCUAGAUGUGACUGCCGACACGCACAGUAAUAUGUCACACUCCUUUUGAGAAGUGGUGUCCGAGAAUUUGACUUGGACAACCCUAUGUCGGAGCCGAUGCACAAGUCGUGCCAGCGCCGCAUCGUGUUUCCUAGCCCAGGCACCUUAUAAGGGGCCAUAUCCAUACACCACACCAGCCACCACCACACUUGAGCACCGCUCUUCUCCAUUCAUCCUUCCAUGUCUCACCCUGGAGUCUACCUACGAACUCCAGAUGCAAGCCCUGGUAGUUUCAUUAAGGUUUUGUGGGAUCUGACCCGCAAUACCCUUGGUUCCAGCAACCCACCCCAGUAUGAGUUGUUCAAAAUGAGGAUCACCCCUAAUUCCUCAAAAUACUGGGCAGUUGUGCACAUCCCACGAGAGGAUUUAAAUCAAGACCCUCCAUAUGUUGUCUUCGUCGGGAGAUCCAUGCCAACCUCAGGCAUGGCUAUUGAGGCUGCUGCUUAUGAAGCAGUUACCCGUGUUCGGUUCACUAUACCCGCUGCCAGUGAAAGGAAAUACUACUAUUUCCCGAGCCGCGCAGCUUUUGGAGCAGAAGCCACGUUCCGUUGUGAACGCAUAGAGAGGGAUCCAACUCUGGCCAAUCUCAUUCAAUAUGUGAUGGCCCAGGAGCAUCUAACCCAGCAACUAAUGGAUUACCUCCAUUAUCUUGCUAUGCUGAAUCCCCAUAUCGCCAUUGGUGGACCACCAUGGCCAACUCCGGAAGGGCGUGUUCUUCGUUUACUUCCUUCACUUCCCCCGGAAGAAGAAGAAUGUGCUCCAGCAUCGGGAACCCUUCCACAAGACCCUGUAGAUCUCACCUUCAGACUGUAGACGGUCAUUGUUGCUGUACCUAGCACUAGUAUACAUGAUGCAACCGCUGUAUUGUAAUUUAGGGCGUAUGUAAGUGCAUUGCCAUGACUGCAUUCUGCAUAUGAUCAUUUGUUGUGAUUUUCAGUUCUUCUGCCCUUAACAAAUCUCGAGGACGAGAUUUUUCUUAAGGGGGGUAGAGUUUGUAACACCCCAAAAUUUUAAUCAAAUUUUAUUAAGUAAAAUUUGGCCAGAAAUAAAAUUUUGAAUUAUACUAGGUCAUUUAUUAAUUUCAAAGCCUUUUCUAUUUCCUGUUUUACAAAAAAUUCUCCCCUCCAUAGAAGAUUAUUUUUGUGAAGUGUUGUGGUAUGUGGUUGUUUUAUAAGCCUUUCCAUUUGUAUCAUAAAUAACAGUGGGAAAUAUUUUCAUAAUAAAAUUUGCCACAAGUAAUACUUUUAAAAGCAUUUUCAAUACUUAAAAUGCUUCUAUUGCACUACAAUUAUUUUAAAUAAUUGUUUUAAAAUCCCACAAAAAUUGUGAGAGGUCGGGUGAUGCCUAUAAAUCACUUUUGAGCAAAAACCUAACUAUGUCUUUUGAAAAUUUUGAGAGAAACAUCCUCUUUUCAAAUUCUGUCCCAUUCUUGAGUUAUAACUGCAACCCUAAUUUUUCUAGCUCCAUUAAUUCUGAAACUUUGCCAUAUUGUAGUCCUUCCAACUAGUACCUUAAGUCCAGAAGGGAAGCUUCAAUUUCAACUUGCAAGUCCACCAAACACUUCUCUGAAGUUUCUGUCCAGAACUGAAUUCUGGUAAAACUUGCACUAGAAAGUUUCUCAUCUUGCCAAACUAACUCCACCAUCAUCUCUAGCACCUAAAGAGAUCCCAAUCUGGCAAGUUUCAAAUCCAUCAAAGUCCUUUAGCUUGCCCCUAGCGUUCUGUCAAACACCUUGUGGGCAUGACAGAAAUGUUGCCACUUUCUAACUUACACUGGACACCUGGUUAUUUGGCCAAACCAGCAUGUCCAUCACUCCUCUCAUACCUAGAAGCACCAUCUUGUUGAUUUUUAGCUCGUGUGUGUCCCUGUAGAUGCCACUGGCAAUCUGACGAACACCUAACGUGCGUGCACCGGGCGCGGCCAGAGCGUGUGUUUUGCACGCGUCGGCACCGAGCCCCUGCCGUGUCUCUGCUGCCUCCCCUUCUCAUCCUGAUCCUCCUCUGGAUCAGCUCGACCACCGGGAACCUCGCCGACACCCUCGCUUGGCCCCUAGCGCCGUCCACCGCCGUCCACGUCUCUGCCCGAGCCCCUCUGGCUUAAUUGCCAACGGCUCGAGCUCAUCCGGAGCUCACCGGCCACACUAGCGACACACCGGCCUCGCCACCACCCACUCGCUCGCCUUGAAUGGCCGCCGCCGCGGUCAGCUCGGGCACGGCACCGCCCAGGCCACCCGAGCCAGCCAGCGCGACCCCGUGGUAAAUACGGACGGCCACCAUCCGUACCUAACCGCGCCGGCCACUCCUACCUCGCCACCGCCCGCGCUUUGCCAUCAAUGGUCGCCGCCGACGUGUUCAUCUCUGGAACCCGCGGCACUGCCCUCCCCUCCCUAUAAAAAGCCACCCAAGGCCCUCGAACAACACCAUCUCACUCUCCCUCUCCCUCACUGACCCACCCGUUGCAGCAACACGACCAGAGGAAGUCGUCUUCUCCGAUUCCGGCAACUACUGCCGCCGCCACUGUUCGGAUGGUUCCGACGCCGUCCGGCCCUCCCUCUCACAAGUUUCUCCACCAAUAGCCUCCUUGAGCACCCAUUGAUCCACCCCCACACUCGAUUUUGCCCGGGAGCCACCAUAGGCGAAACGCCCAAUUCGUCUCCGCCGGAGCUCCUCGGGUGAGCUCGCCGCCGAUGACUCCCUCCACUCCAGUGACCAAGGAGGGUACCCACGUGUUCGCCUCAACCUCCUGAGCUCUUAGGUGGCCUCUGUUUUCCCAACGGUGCCGCCAUUCGCCGGCGCCGACCGCCGGAGCUCCGCCUCUGUUCGGCCGGACAAGGAGGCGCGCGCGUGGACUGGUCAAACCUGACCAGUGGGCCGGGCGGGCCCACUGCCAGUGACUCAGCGCGGUGCCAGCUCAUUUUAAGUAGAGACGUUUUCCCCAAAGUACGUCUCCUCCUCCGGAAAGCGUACUCACAGAGAGACGCCUUCGACGUCGCAACCCUCCCACGCAGCCAAACGACUGGGCUCGGCCCAGUAGCGCUAGGCGGCUAUACUGCGCCCAAGGCGCGUUUCUGCUCAUCCCAUCACAGAAGUGGAGGGGAGAUAUAAUUUUCAAAGUUUUGGAGUGCGCCUAAUCUUUCUGCAUGCUCAAGGCAAGCAUCUUGAAGACAUGAUAUGGUGAAUGCAUAGUGGUUGUUUGCAUGUAGAAUUGAAUUAUGAAUAUAUUCAACUCAUAUGAAAUUUGCAUAGUAUUGGUCAUACAUGCAUGAUUCCCCUUGAUGAUAUUCUAUCUCCAUUUUAACAUGAAGUAUGAGUGAGUAUGGUGAUUUUCAUGUACCGUAUAUGCCUGUGUUGGUCCAGGCUAAUUUGCAAGAAGAAUCAGUCACGAGAAAAGUGACCGUGAGACUGAAAUCUCGUUGUGACAAGAAUGAUCAGUGAGGGUAUGUUGACACAUACUAGGUGGUGACCCUGUUGGCUACUGCCAAGGAAUUGUAUUGUGCUAACCAUUGCAGGGAAACUUAAACCUCCUGAGUUGACCGUAGAUCGAGUCUUGUUCCAGUAACCCCCAUACUUGAUUCGUGCUACCACACGUCCCUGCCAAAGGUAGGGUAUGGUUCAGUAAGUUGAUAACCCCUUUCCUACACACACCGUACAGAGAGGCCAUAGGGAAUGAUACUAUUGGCCCCAGUAGUCAUGUCAUUUGGUCCGGGGGCAUGAAUGGCCGGUCUGGGACCGAAGCUGAAUGUUCAUGCUGUUGGAGGCCGUUGCAUGAGGCCUUCCCACUUAGAGUUUUACUUUAUCAUUGUUUUGGGUGAUCCCUGGCUUGAUGGAUUAAAGCUGGUAUGUGCGGGUCAGGUGUGUUUUCAUCCCAAAGACCGUAAUCGAAAUUAGUCAACAUCUCGGGGUUGACUAAAGAAAUCCUUUACUUGUGGGUAAAGAGUACACCCUCUCCAGAGUUAUAUCUAUUCGAAUAGCCGUGUCCGUGGUUAAGGACUACAGUCUGGGUUGGUCAAGUGUCGGUCUUAGUGUCAGUCUCAGGAGGAAAUAAUUAAAUUGAUCAUGGUUCGUCCUGCGGGGUAAUUAUUGUCACUGCUGAUGCCGUUAUGAAUAUUAUUGUUGACAUGAAUAUUGUUGUGGACUAACCGUUUCCUCUUAUGUGCAACUGUGAGUAUCUCUUGGGAUGGCUAGUCCACCUGAAUGCUCAUGUUAUUUUCUUAUAAGCCCUUUAUGAGGCGUCGCUUCAGACACCCGACUGUGGCGUGUAUUUUCAAGACCUCUCGUGGCGUCGCUUGAGUUCUCAGGCGGUCCUGUCUCGCUCGACUCUCUUUUAGACACCUGUUUGGCAUUUCUUUUCAAGACCUCUCGUGGUGUCGCUUGAGUUCUUGGGCGGUCCUGUCUCGCCCGAUUCUCUUUUAGACGCCCGUUUGACAUUUCUCUUGGAAUUUCUCGGGCGGUCCAACGCCCGAUGUUCCGUUUCAUUUAUUUGAUUUACUAAUAACAUGACUUAUUUA